UUUCGUGACGAUGAUGAUAAAUGUGAUCCCAGCUCAUUAUGAGACCUUCGAAAAUUCGUUAGGUCUGGGAAUAUAUCUUUCCACAUUUGUCUGAGCCCUAAA